UCCCUGGUGGCUCAGUGGUAAAGCAUCUGCCUACCAAUGUAGGAGACACAGGUUAGAUUCCUGGUCUGGGAA
rfam:TPA: Bos taurus chromosome 26, whole genome shotgun sequence.